rnacentral:rRNA from 1 species
UGGGGAAUCUUGGACAAUGGGGGCAACCCUGAUCCAGCCAUGCCGCGUGGGUGAAGAAGGCCUUAGGGUUGUAAAGCCCUUUCAGUCGUGACGAUGAUGACGGUAGCGACAGAAGAAGCCCCGGCUAACUCCGUGCCAGCAGCCGCGGUAAUACGAAGGGGGCUAGCGUUGUUCGGAAUUACUGGGCGUAAAGCGCGCGUAGGCGGGCUGUUAAGUUGGGGGUGAAAUCCCGGGGCUCAACCUCGGAAUUGCCUCCAAAACUGGCAGUCUAGAGUCCGAGAGAGGUGAGUGGAACUCCGAGUGUAGAGGUGAAAUUCGUAGAUAUUCGGAAGAACACCAGUGGCGAAGGCGGCUCACUGGCUCGGUACUGACGCUGAGGUGCGAAAGCGUGGGGAGCAAACAGGAUUAGAUACCCCCGUAGUCC